rnacentral:rRNA from 1 species
ACUAAGCGUACACGGUGGAUGCCCUGGCAGUCAGAGGCGAUGAAGGACGUGCUAAUCUGCGAUAAGCGUCGGUAAGGUGAUAUGAACCGUUAUAACCGGCGAUUUCCGAAUGGGGAAACCCAGUGUGAUUCGUCACACUAUCGUUAAGUGAAUACAUAGCUUAACGAAGCGAACCGGGGGAACUGAAACAUCUAAGUACCCCGAGGAAAAGAAAUCAACCGAGAUUCCCCCAGUAGCGGCGAGCGAACGGGGAGCAGCCCAGAGUCUGAAUCAGCGCGUGUGUUAGUGGAACGGUCUGGAAAGUCCGGCGGUACAGGGUGAUAGCCCCGUACACUAAAAUGCACACGUUGUGAACUCGAAGAGUAGGGCGGGACACGUGGUAUCCUGUCUGAAUAUGGGGGGACCAUCCUCCAAGGCUAAAUACUCCUGACUGACCGAUAGUGAACCAGUACCGUGAGGGAAAGGCGAAAAGAACCCCGGCGAGGGGAGUGAAAAAGAACCUGAAACCGUGU